AACGAACGCUGGCGGCGUGCUUAACACAUGCAAGUCGAACGGUAAGGCCCUUCGGGGUACACGAGUGGCGAACGGGUGAGUAACACGUGGGUGAUCUGCCCUGCACUUCGGGAUAAGCCUGGGAAACUGGGUCUAAUACCGGAUAGGACCACUGCCUGCAUGGGUGGUGGUGGAAAGCUUUUGCGGUGUGGGAUGGGCCCGCGGCCUAUCAGCUUGUUGGUGGGGUGAUGGCCUACCAAGGCGACAACGGGUAGCCGGCCUGAGAGGGUGACCGGCCACACUGGGACUGAGAUACGGCCCAGACUCCGACGGGAGGCAGCAGUGGGGAUUAUUGCACAAUGGGCGCAAGCCUGAUGCAGCGACGCCGGGUGAGGGAUGACGGCCUUCGGGUUGUAAACCUCUUUCAGCACCGACGAAGCGCAAGUGACGGUAGGUGCAGAAGAAGGACCGGCCAACUACGUGCCAGCCGCCGCGGUAA
rnacentral:rRNA from 1 species